GGGUGGUAGCUCAGUUGGUAGAGCAUCGCGUUCGCAACGCGGGGGUCGUGAGUUCGAAUCUCAUCCGCUCC
rnacentral:tRNA from 1 species